UACGGAGGAUGCAAGCGUUAUCCGGAAUGAUUGGGGGUAAAGCGUCCGCAGGUGGCAAUGUAAGUCUGCUGUCAAAGCGUCUGGCUCAACCAGAUAAAGGCAGUGGAAACUACAUAGCUAGAGUAAGGUAGGGGUAGAGGGAAUUCCUGGUGUAGCGGUGAAAUGCGUAGAGAUCAGGAAGAACACCGGUGGCGAAAGCGCUCUGCUGGACCUUAACUGACACUGAGGGACGAAAGCUAGGGGAGCGAAUGGG
rnacentral:rRNA from 1 species